rnacentral:rRNA from 1 species
UAAACUCCUGUUGUUGAGGAAGAUAAUGACGGUACUCAACAAGGAAGUGACGGCUAACUACGUGCCAGCAGCCGCGGUAAAACGUAGGUCACAAGCGUUGUCCGGAAUUACUGGGUGUAAAGGGAGCGCAGGCGGGAGAACAAGUUGGAAGUGAAAUCCAUGGGCUCAACCCAUGAACUGCUUUCAAAACUGUUUUUCUUGAGUAGUGCAGAGGUAGGCGGAAUUCCCGGUGUAGCGGUGGAAUGCGUAGAUAUCGGGAGGAACACCAGUGGCGAAGGCGGCCUACUGGGCACCAACUGACGCUGAGGCUCGAAAGUGUGGGUAGCAAACAGGAUUAGAUACCCUGGUAGUCCACACCGUAAACGAUGAUUACUAGGUGUUGGAGGAUUGACCCCUUCAGUGCCGCAGUUAACACAAUAAGUAAUCCACCUGGGGAGUACGACCGCAAGGUUGAAACUCAAAGGAAUUGACGGGGGCCCGCACAAGCAGUGGAGUAUGUGGUUUAAUUCGACGCAACGCGAAGAACCUUACCAAGUCUUGACAUCCUGCGACGCACAUAGAAAUAUGUGUUUCCUUCGGGACGCAGAGACAGGUGGUGCAUGGUUGUUGUCAGCUCGUGUCGUGAGAUGWUGGGUUAAGUCCCGCAACGAGCGCAACCCUUAUCGUCAGUUACUACGCACGAGGACUCU